rnacentral:rRNA from 1 species
AUGCUCGUACUAUCUGUAUGGAGCUGGGAGCGAUUGCCGGUUGGACGACCGAAGAUCAUAAAGUACGAGGAUUGGGAUGACAAAGACGACCCACUACGGUUCUCCACUUGGGCUUACAAGUGGGAUGUGUUAAAUGAGACGAUGUAUGAUCCCUCGGUCAUGUACAAGCAGUACAGGAGCGAGUUGGACACGAUUACGGCUGAGCAGGUGAGUUGA